rnacentral:tRNA from 1 species
GUAGGUAUAGCUCAGUGGUAGAGAGCAGGCUUAGCAUGCGUGAGGUCCUGGGUUCAAUCCCCAGUACCUCCA